CGAGCGGUAUGGAUAGCUUGCUAUCCAGAGAGCGGCGUACGGGUGCGUAACACGUGUGCAACCUGCCUUUAUCUGGGGGAUAGCCUUUCGAAAGGAAGAUUAAUACCCCAUAAUAUGGUGUCCGGCAUCGGUCGCCAUUGAAAGCCUCGGCGGAUAGAGAUGGGCACGCGCAAGAUUAGAUAGUUGGCGGGGUAACGGCCCACCAAGUCGAUGAUCUUUAGGGGUCCUGAGAGGGAGAUCCCCCACACUGGUACUGAGACACGGACCAGACUCCUACGGGAGGCAGCAGUGAGGAAUAUUGGACAAUGGGUGGAAGCCUGAUCCAGCCAUCCCGCGUGAAGGAUGACGGUCCUAUGGAUUGUAAACUUCUUUUGUACAGGGAUAAACCUGCCCUCGUGAGGGCAGCUGAAAGUACUGUACGAAUAAGCACCGGCUAACUCCGUGCCAGCAGCCGCGGUAAUACGGAGGGUGCGAGCGUUAUCCGGAUUUAUUGGGUUUAAAGGGUCCGUAGGCGGGCCUGUAAGUCAGUGGUGAAAUCUCAUAGCUUAACUAUGAAACUGCCAUUGAUACUGCAGGCCUUGAGUAAAUUUGAAGUGGCUGGAAUAAGUAGUGUAGCGGUGAAAUGCAUAGAUAUUACUUAGAACACCGAUUGCGAAGGCAGGUCACUAAGAUUUAACUGACGCUGAUGGACGAAAGCGUGGGGAGCGAACAGGAUUAGAUACCCUGGUAGUCCACGCCGUAAACGAUGCUAACUCGUUUUUGGAUCUUCGGGUUCAGAGACCAAGCGAAAGUGAUAAGUUAGCCACCUGGAGAGUACGUCCGCAAGGAUGAAACUCAAAGGAAUUGACGGGGGCCCGCACAAGCGGUGGAUUAUGUGGUUUAAUUCGAUGAUACGCGAGGAACCUUACCAAGACUUAAAUGGGAAUUGACAGAUUUAGAAAUAGAUCCUCCUUCGGGCAAUUUUCAAGGUGCUGCAUGGUUGUCGUCAGCUCGUGCCGUGAGGUGUUAGGUUAAGUCCUGCAACGAGCGCAACCCCUGCCAACAGUUGCCAUCAUUCAGUUGGGGACUCUGUUGGGACUGCCUACGCAAGUAGAGAGGAAGGUGGGGAUGACGUCAAAUCAUCACGGCCCUUACGUCUUGGGCCACACACGUAAUACAAUGGCCGGUACAGAGGGCAGCUACCUGGUGACAGGAUGCGAAUCUCGAAAGCCGGUCUCAGUUCGGAUUGGAGUCUGCAACUCGACUCUAUGAAGCUGGAAUCGCUAGUAAUCGCGCAUCAGCCAUGGCGCGGUGAAUACGUUCCCGGGCCUUGUACACACCGCCCGUCAAGCCAUGGAAGUCUGGGGUACCUGAAGUCGGUGACC
rnacentral:rRNA from 1 species